AACGAACGCUGGCGGCAGGCUUAACACAUGCAAGUCGAGCGCCUCGCCAGAGGAGCGGCAGUCGGGUGAGUAACGCGUGGGAACGUACCCUUAUCUUCGGAAUAGCCCUGGGAAACUGGAAGUAAUACCGAAUGUGCCCUUAGGGGGUAAGGUUUAUCGGAUAAGGAUCGGCCCGCGUUGGAUUAGCUCGUUGGUCGGGUAAAGGCCUACCAAGGCGACUAUCCAUAGCUGGUCUGAGAGGAUGAUCAGACACAUUGGGACUGAGACACGGCCCAAACUCCUACGGGAGGCAGCAGUGGGGAAUAUUGGACAAUGGGCGCAAGCCUGAUCCAGCCAUGCCGCGUGAGUGAUGAAGGCCUGAGGGUUGUAAAGCUCUUUCACCGGAGAAGAUAAUGACGGUAUCCGGAGAAGAAGCCCCGGCUAACUUCGUG
rnacentral:rRNA from 1 species